rnacentral:rRNA from 1 species
GAUUAAUACCGCAUACGACCUGAGGGUGAAAGUGGGGGAUCGCAAGACCUCACGCAGUUGGAGCGGCCGAUGGCGGAUUAGCUAGUUGGUAGGGUAAAGGCCUACCAAGGCGACGAUCCGUAGCGGGUCUGAGAGGACGACCCGCCACACUGGAACUGAGACACGGUCCAGACUCCUACGGGAGGCAGCAGUGGGGAAUUUUGGACAAUGGGGGCAACCCUGAUCCAGCCAUUCCGCGUGAGUGAAGAAGGCCUUCGGGUUGUAAAGCUCUUUCGGCAGGAACGAAACGGUCGUCUCUAACAUAGAUGGCUAAUGACGGUACCUGAAGAAGAAGCACCGGCUAACUACGUGCCAGCAGCCGCGGUAAUACGUAGGGUGCGAGCGUUAAUCGGAAUUACUGGGCGUAAAGCGUGCGCAGGCGGUCCUAUAAGGCAGAUGUGAAAUCCCCGGGCUUAACCUGGGAACUGCGUUUGUGACUGUAGAACUUGAGUGUGGCAGAGGGGGGUAGAAUUCCACGUGUAGCAGUGAAAUGCGUAGAGAUGUGGAGGAAUACCGAUGGCGAAGGCAGCCCCCUGGGUCAACACUGACGCUCAUGCACGAAAGCGUGGGGAGCAAACAGGAUUAGAUACCCUGGUAGUCCACGCCCUAAACGAUGCGAACUAGGUGUUGGGGAAGGAGACUUUCUUAGUACCGCAGCUAACGCGUGAAGUUCGCCGCCUGGGGAGUACGGUCGCAAGAUUAAAACUCAAAGGAAUUGACGGGGACCCGCACAAGCGGUGGAUGAUGUGGAUUAAUUCGAUGCAACGCGAAAAACCUUACCUACCCUUGACAUGCCAGGAAUCCCGGAGAGAUUUGGGAGUGCUCGAAAGAGAGCCUGGACACAGGUGCUGCAUGGCUGUCGUCAGCUCGUGUCGUGAGAUGUUGGGUUAAGUCCCGCAACGAGCGCAACCCUUGUCAUUAAUUGCCAUCAUUUAGUUGGGCACUUUAAUGAGACUGCCGGUGACAAACCGGAGGAAGGUGGGGAUGACGUCAAGUCCUCAUGGCCCUUAUGGGUAGGGCUUCACACGUCAUACAAUGGUCGGUACAGAGGGUUGCCAAGCCGCGAGGUGGAGCCAAUCCCACAAAGCCGAUCGUAGUCCGGAUUGGAGUCUGCAACUCGACUCCAUGAAGUCGGAAUCGCUAGUAAUCGUGGAUCAGCAUGUCACGGUGAAUACGUUCCCGGGUCCU